rnacentral:rRNA from 1 species
UCGAGGAUCUUCGGCAAUGGGCGCAAGCCUGACCGAGCGACGCCGCGUGUGCGAUGAAGGCCUUCGGGUUGUAAAGCACUGUCGAGGGGGAGGAAGCCGCAAGGUUGACCUAUCCCUGGAGGAAGCACGGGCUAAGUUCGUGCCAGCAGCCGCGGUAAGACGAACCGUGCGAACGUUGUUCGGAAUCACUGGGCUUAAAGGGCGCGUAGGCGGGCCACCAAGUCCGGGGUGAAAUCCUCCGGCUUAACCGGAGAAUUGCCUGGGAUACUGGUGGUCUUGAGGGAGGUAGGGGCACGCGGAACUUCCGGUGGAGCGGUGAAAUGCGUUGAUAUCGGAAGGAACGCCGGUGGCGAAAGCGGCGUGCUGGCCCUCUUCUGACGCUGAGGCGCGAAAGCCAGGGGAGCGAACGGGAUUAGAUACCCCCGUAGUCC